GAUGUAAUUUUUCAAAAAGUUGUGUUAUUCAGUAGUAGGUUCAAAAUUGUCCUUCUAGUGUUACUUGGAUAAUUUUGAUUCCUUAAAUUUGUCGGAUUUCUGUAAAAUAUUUACCAAGCAUCCAUUGUGAAAGUUAAAAGAAAAUGUGAAAAAAAAAAAUAUUUUACAGAAACUUCACAUUUGAGAUUACAAAUUUUAUAUUUCGUAUUAUAUUUGGUUUAUUUCAAGAAUUAAAUGCAAUUUUUUGAGCUGCAAUUUCUGCUUGUGUCUAGUAUAAUUUUUUAUAUUGCGAUUUUUGGAACUUUAAUUAGAUGAAAAUAUCUAGUUUUCCUAUUAACCAUCAAAUUUUCAUAAAUAUCUUAUAGGGAUCAAAAGUGUUCAAUUUUGUCAUAAAAGCCUAUUUUAAACCAGCUAUGAGAAAAAAAAAAUGACCAAUUGAUUAUGGAGAUGAUUAUGGAAAGUUCAACCGGCCCAAAAGUGGCAGGCCAGAUAGAAAAGGAAAAGUCUACCGAGCAAUGGGAAAGUCACUUACUUGAUGGAUGUUCCUUCCUUGCAAUCGAUGAUGUUCCAUCAUCUAAGUCUCUUCUUUGCAGCAACUUGAGCAUUUGCAGCUCCAAAAACGUCAAGUAGCAGGUGAUGAUCAUGAAGAAUAGCAUAUGAAGUGUUUCGGCGGCUAUAGUGCAAUGGGAGGAGGGAUCUCAGAGGAAAGUGAAUGUUCAAGGUGAUUGGAAAAUUGAACAGAUUGAAAGGGGUCCUUAGAAGACUGAACAAAGAAAAAUUUAGUGAAGUAGAAAAGAAAGCUGAGUAAGCAAAGGAAUGGUUGCUGCAAAUGCCAAGAGAAAUUGCAACAGGACCCAGAAACAAAGAAUGGAUAAAACAAGCGCACAAAGCUGCAAAGGAGUAUCAAGACUGGAAAGUAGCAUGUGAGAGAUUUCUACAACAGAAAUGCAAAAUCAAGUGGCUGAAAGAAGGGGAUCGAAACAUGAAGAUCUUCCAUAGCUAUUUGAAGGCUAGGAGGAAUGCCAACAAAAUUUUUCUGGUUCAAGAUAAAGAUGGUAAUGAAAAAAAGAAUAUGGAAGGAAUAACUGAAGCUUUUAUUGAUUUCUAUACAAUGCUACUCCAACAAUGCAGAAAGAUUACAUGUGUCCUAAUAAACUUGUCUCUCAUCUCAACAUUUGACAUCUUUUAUGCUCGUCAUGAAGCAUUCAAGCUAGGUCUGUCUUAAUUUGAUUGUUGUCUCUUAAUGAAGACCUGCAGAACUUCAAGCAGAUUGUCCCUACUUCAAAAGGCAGUGCAACUUCUCUGUUUUAUGUUUUGAAAUUGGUUAAGAUAUCAGGUUUUCUAUUGGAUUUCGUUA